CUUUGACAGCUUCUUGGACAGCUGCAUGGGCCGUUGGUGUAGCACCGACUGACAAGGUCCACUUCCCUUUAGCACCGAGAUUCCUAGCAAUCUUUGCUGCUGUCUGAACACAGUUAAUCUCGCCAGCGAAGUAGGACGACCCAGCUGAAAGGGAAUCGGAGGCAUAAGAUUGUCCGAAGUCUGAAGCCAAAGAUCUCGACAUAGUCUUGAGAUUCAACGAGAGCCUGAAUGAGCUCUUUCAUUUGCUCACUUUCCGCAGGAGCACCCGCUCGUCUACCGGCCUCAUCAGCCUGACUCCAUCUUGACUUCCCCACCAUCUUAUCACCCACCCUUGAUCCAUAUAAGAUCCUGAUCUGUUCUGCAUGGUCUACCAUUAAGCGGAUUGUGGCCUGGGCUCCCACUAUCUCUUGGGCAGAGUUGAUAUCUUCGAGCUUGUCGGCACUUAUAGGCAUGGAGUACAAGAUCUGCACCAAGGCUGUCAGCCGGAUCUGCAAUAUGACGGCAAGCAGGGCAGAUAUACGUCGUUUACCAGGCCCUCAUUCACAAGACCAGAUUCAAUAAUCUGCCAAACCUCUACCAUUGUAGAUGCGAUGGUGGCCUUGACCCCUCCUGCAGCUUCUACCUGCAUCCUCGUCCCUUCUGUAGUCUUGUGCGCUAUAACUUUAUCAGCAUCUUCUCCUCAAAAAACAUCAAUGGAAACUUACUCUUCACAUUUGUCCUUGAAUUUUUUACGGUCGACUAUGAGAGCAGGUGUACGAAGAGCUGAGAGUGGUUGUCCCACAAACUUGUCCACGAGGGCGGACUUGGAGGGGAGGGAGUAGAGGGAAAGGGGAGUGAACGUUGACAUGGUUGUUGUUUGUAGAUGCUUGGAGGGAUAGAUGACUGUAUAAGAACGUCAAACUGAAUGCUUUUACACCGGAAACACAGACGCCAUCUGAUGGACUCCCCUCCUGCACGAACAAGUCAAGAAGCGGGCUAGGCGAAUUCGCGUGCCGACUUACCCGAUGGGUGGGUGGAGGUUGCCAAAGUGGAGGUACGCCUUAUCUACGGCUCAGAGUGGGGGAAUGAGUGGGGGGACGCGGAGGAGAUAUUAUUGGUAGCAGCCCUGGGCGCCGGAAUCGUACGGAAAUAGAAGGGAGAGGAACUUCUGCAUUGAGAAGGGCAACAGAAGGUGGGGGUAAGGGUGGGGAAGCAAUUGGAUGAGAAUAAAUGACUUGCCAAUCGCAUGCAGUGGGUGGUAAGGAAGUGGAUGAGCUGUGGUCUGCGGUCCUCUACGUACUAUAAGCGGGGGGAAGCAAUAAUCAGAAGCCCAGUAGAAAGCAAGAAGGGAAUCGGAGCCUAUCUACUACUCCUAGUGUCAUAUUAUUGUCUAUUGCACGUAUUAUUCACUGUAAGGAGGCUUGAUCAGUUUUGUAGGCUCCUCCAGAAUUAUAGCAUAUACUAUGUAUACAGUUCUCGACGAU
rnacentral:sRNA from 1 species